AAGGAGCACUUCUCCACGACGCUUCACACAGGUGAAUGUGGUUGUGGCAGAGACCGUUUAGUUCCCAAUCGUGGAACUGCGGAAGCUCAUGGGUGGAACGCUGACAACCUCUCCCGUAUGUGGAGGAAGCCGAGUCUUCCUUCGCGGGUGAUAUAUCGACACACUGUUGGGUCCUGAAAGAACAGACGUUCUUUCCAGGCAAAAAAUACGAUCCGCUCGGAUCUUCGGUUAGUACCGCAGAGCUUGCUCUGGCCGGCUUCGAGUCAAGUCUGAGUGGGUGUGUUGUUUGAGAACUGCACAGUGGACGCGAGCAUCUUUGUUA
rnacentral:misc_RNA from 1 species